AGAACCUGAAACCGUGUGCUUACAAGUAGUCAGAGCCCGUUAAUGGGUGAUGGCGUGCCUUUUGUAGAAUGAACCGGCGAGUUACGAUUUGAUGCAAGGUUAAGCAGUAAAUGUGGAGCCGUAGCGAAAGCGAGUCUGAAUAGGGCGUUUAGUAUUUGGUCGUAGACCCGAAACCAGGUGAUCUACCCUUGGUCAGGUUGAAGUUCAGGUAACACUGAAUGGAGGACCGAACCGACUUACGUUGAAAAGUGAGCGGAUGAACUGAGGGUAGCGGAGAAAUUCCAAUCGAACCUGGAGAUAGCUGGUUCUCUCCGAAAUAGCUUUAGGGCUAGCCUCAAGUGAUGAUUAUUGGAGGUAGAGCACUGUUUGGACGAGGGGCCCCUCUCGGGUUACCGAAUUCAGACAAACUCCGAAUGCCAAUUAAUUUAACUUGGGAGUCAGAACAUGGGUGAUAAGGUCCGUGUUCGAAAGGGAAACAGCCCAGACCACCAGCUAAGGUCCCAAAAUAUAUGUUAAGUGGAAAAGGAUGUGGCGUUGCCCAGACAACUAGGAUGUUGGCUUAGAAGCAGCCAUCAUUUAAAGAGUGCGUAAUAGCUCACUAGUCGAGUGACACUGCGCCGAAAAUGUACCGGGGCUAAACAUAUUACCGAAGCUGUGGAUUGUCCUUUGGACAAUGGUAGGAGAGCGUUCUAAGGGCGUUGAAGCAUGAUCGUAAGGACAUGUGGAGCGCUUAGAAGUGAGAAUGCCGGUGUGAGUAGCGAAAGACGGGUGAGAAUCCCGUCCACCGAUUGACUAAGGUUUCCAGAGGAAGGCUCGUCCGCUCUGGGUUAGUCGGGUCCUAAGCUGAGGCCGACAGGCGUAGGCGAUGGAUAACAGGUUGAUAUUCCUGUACCACCUAUAAUCGUUUUAAUCGAUGGGGGGACGCAGUAGGAUAGGCGAAGCGUGCGAUUGGAUUGCACGUCUAAGCAGUAAGGCUGAGUAUUAGGCAAAUCCGGUACUCAUUAAGGCUGAGCUGUGAUGGGGAGAAGACAUUGUGUCUUCGAGUCGUUGAUUUCACACUGCCGAGAAAAGCCUCUAGAUAGAAAAUAGGUGCCCGUACCGCAAACCGACACAGGUAGUCAAGAUGAGAAUUCUAAGGUGAGCGAGCGAACUCUCGUUAAGGAACUCGGCAAAAUGACCCCGUAACUUCGGGAGAAGGGGUGCUCUUUAGGGUUAACGCCCAGAAGAGCCGCAGUGAAUAGGCCCAAGCGACUGUUUAUCAAAAACACAGGUCUCUGCUAAACCGUAAGGUGAUGUAUAGGGGCUGACGCCUGCCCGGUGCUGGAAGGUUAAGAGGAGUGGUUAGCUUCUGCGAAGCUACGAAUCGAAGCCCCAGUAAACGGCGGCCGUAACUAUAACGGUCCUAAGGUAGCGAAAUUCCUUGUCGGGUAAGUUCCGACCCGCACGAAAGGCGUAACGAUUUGGGCACUGUCUCAACGAGAGACUCGGUGAAAUCAUAGUACCUGUGAAGAUGCAGGUUACCCGCGACAGGACGGAAAGACCCCGUGGAGCUUUACUGUAGCCUGAUAUUGAAAUUCGGCACAGCUUGUACAGGAUAGGUAGGAGCCUUUGAAACGUGAGCGCUAGCUUACGUGGAGGCGCUGGUGGGAUACUACCCUAGCUGUGUUGGCUUUCUAACCCGCACCACUUAUCGUGGUGGGAGACAGUGUCAGGCGGGCAGUUUGACUGGGGCGGUCGCCUCCUAAAAGGUAACGGAGGCGCUCAAAGGUUCCCUCAGAAUGGUUGGAAAUCAUUCAUAGAGUGUAAAGGCAUAAGGGAGCUUGACUGCGAGACCUACAAGUCGAGCAGGGUCGAAAGACGGACUUAGUGAUCCGGUGGUUCCGCAUGGAAGGGCCAUCGCUCAACGGAUAAAAGCUACCCCGGGGAUAACAGGCUUAUCUCCCCCAAGAGUUCACAUCGACGGGGAGGUUUGGCACCUCGAUGUCGGCUCAUCGCAUCCUGGGGCUGUAGUCGGUCCCAAGGGUUGGGCUGUUCGCCCAUUAAAGCGGUACGCGAGCUGGGUUCAGAACGUCGUGAGACAGUUCGGUCCCUAUCCGUCGUGGGCGUAGGAAAUUUGAGAGGAGCUGUCCUUAGUACGAGAGGACCGGGAUGGACAUACCUCUGGUGUACCAGUUGUCGUGCCAACGGCAUAGCUGGGUAGCUAUGUGUGGACAGGAUAAGUGCUGAAAGCAUCUAAGCAUGAAGCCCCCCUCAAGAUGAGAUUUCCCAACUUCGGUUAUAAGAUCCCUCAAAGAUGAUGAGGUUAAUAGGUUCGAGGUGGAAGCAUGGUGACAUGUGGAGCUGACGAAUACUAAUCGAUCGAAGACUUAAUCAA
rnacentral:rRNA from 1 species